UUAAUUCUCAAGUUGCUAUGAAUGCUUUUUAUUUACUGCAGGAAGAACCUGAAGAAGGAAGGGCCAGUAUUUACAAGUCAGUGGUCAUCAACACUUCUAAGGAGAUGAUGUGCUUCAGUGACUAUCCCGUCCCAGAUCACUAUCCUAACUUCAUGCACAACUCCCAGGUCCUGGAGUAUUUCAGGAUGUAUGCCAAAGAAUUUGACCUUCUAAAGUACAUUCGAUUUAAGACCACCGUGUACAGUGUGAAGAAGCAGCCUGAUUUCUCCACUUCAGGCCAAUGGGAGGUGGUCACGGAAUCUGAAGGGAAAAAGGAGGUGAAUGUCUUCGAUGGAGUUAUGGUUUGCACUGGCCAUCACACCAAUGCUCACUUACCCUUGGAAAGCUUCCCUGGAAUUGAGAAGUUCAAAGGACAAUACUUUCAUAGUCGAGAUUAUAAGAAUUCAGAGAGUUUCACUGGAAAGAGAGUCAUUAUAAUUGGCAUUGGAAAUUCUGGAGGUGAUCUGGCUGUGGAAAUUAGCCACACAGCCAAGCAGGUUUUCCUCAGCACCAGAAGAGGGGCUUGGAUCUUCAAUCGUGUCGGAGACUAUGGAUAUCCUGUUGAUGUGUUAUUCUCUUCUCGAUUUAAAUAUUUUAUGAAGAAGAUUUGUGGUCAAACAUUAGCAAAUACAUUUUUGGAAAAAAAGAUGAACCAAAGGUUUGAUCAUGAAAUGUUUGGCCUGAAGCCUAAACACAGAGCUCUGAGUCAGCAUCCAACGCUAAAUGACUUUCUGCCAAAUUGUAUAAUUUCUGGCUUGGUGAAGGUGAAAUCAAACGUGAAGGAAUUCACAGAGACAGCGGCCAUAUUUGAGGAUGGCUCCAGGGAAGAUGACAUUGAUGCUGUUAUCUUUGCUACAGGCUAUAGCUUUGCCUUUCCUUUUCUUGAAGAUUCUGUCAAAGUAGUCAAAAACAAGAUAUCUCUGUAUAAAAAGGUCUUCCCUCCUAACCUAGAAAAGCCAACUCUUGCAAUCAUAGGCUUGAUCCAGCCCUUGGGUGCCAUUAUGCCCAUUUCAGAGCUCCAAGGACGCUGGGUCACUCAAGUAUUUAAAGAAAGUUUUGGCUAGGAAAACAUGAGAAAAAACUUUGGGGUUUGGGAUAGCAGGCUCAAUAUGAAUCAGGAGAAUGAUGUGGCUUCCAAAAGACUGAACUAUAUCUGGCAUCGUUAAAAAACUAUAAUGUCCUGGAAUUUACAACUGUUCUUCCCUGAACUGGGAUAAAGACAUUACCCUUA